CCCAGCGAGAAGCGGUAAAUAUUCUGCUCUUAAAAGAAGCAUUCAGUCACACUCUCUAACACUGCCUGUGCCACAUUUACUAUGCCGCCCUAACUUCAUGAGGAUUUAUUUUAUAAUGAUGAAAGCACCAAAAGCAGACGAAUAAGAAAGAUGGCAGAAUAAAUACAGAAGAUAUCAUGAGUAAUGCUUCCAACAUUGAAGAGGAGGAUGAUGAAGUGGACAAUGAAAACUCCUCCACAACUAGCCUGUUGUGUGCUGACAUUCAAGAGAACGAGGAAGACCUGUCAUAUUCCGAAGGGAACAUGCUUGAUUCUGCCAGGAGUGAAUAUGAAAACGAUGUGGUGGAGGGCAGUACUAGUGGAGAAAACGCAUCUGAAUUCUCAGUGGGCAGUGAAGAUAAAGCAGUUACUGGUGACAAGCCCUUGUAUCCUGGUGCACCUCUUUCAAAAGGAGAAAGUGUAUUGAUGUUGAUGUCCUAUCUGUUACAGCAUAAUUUAACUGGCAAAGCACUUACUGGAAAUGUUUAACAUAAUGUUUCCAGGUCUGAUCCCAUCUUCACAUUAACUUUUCCACAAAGAAUUUGGAAGUUCGUCUAAAUUUGAAGUUCACUUUUAUUGUGAAAGCAGUUUAAAAUACCUUGGCAUUAGAGUAGACCAUCCAUCUCAGUGUGACUCUUGCAACACAGUAAUUGACGCCAAUGCAAACCUAAAGAAUGGAUUCUUUUUUCUUGUGCUGCCCCUGUAUGCACAGAUUUAGCAACUUCUGCAAGAACAUGGUGUCAGUAUUAAUGAAAAAACUAGAACCUUUGGGGUUCUCUCUGACAUACAGUCUGGUGAAGAGUAUCAAAUGUUAUGUGACAGUGGAGUUCUUGGAAAAAGUUGAUUUGACACUAAUUUGGAAUUGUGAUGGCGCACCAGUGUUCAAAAGUUGUAAAUGCAGCAUUUGGCCAAUUCAGUGUCAGGUAAUUGAACUGGAACCGGAAGUGAGGCAAAAAGCACAUUUUGAUGUGAGCGUUAUGGUUUGGGCCAAGUAAACCAUCCAUGUUAACAUUACUAACACAAUUUGUUAAAGAAGCCUCAUUAGAGACUGAAGGUAUUGACUGGCAAGACAUACAGGGAAACUGGCAUGUUUCUAAAGUGUUUGUGCUGGUUUGUAGCGCUGAGUCGGUGGCUCGUCCAGUGCUUCGUAACAAAGCAAUUUAAUGGUUUUUAUGGUUGUGACUUUUAUCACAAAGGUUGUGACGAGGAAUGAGGAUCUAAAUGCAGCUUUAAUGAAAAACAAAAAGAUGAACAAAGUAAUUCAGAAUAAAAUGAAACAAAAACACAGGAAACCAGGCACAGAAAAUGACAACACAUGUAAAGAUGAACAAAGAAACCAAGGGCUUAAAUACACAAGGGAACGAGGAACACCUGGGGAAAACCAAUCAAAAAAUGAAAAUACAAAAAGGGCUACAAACUAACAGGAACUAAACAAGAAUUUCAACAAGUCAAUAGAAAAAACAGGGAAUAUGUGACAGAGCCCCCCCCUUUUAAGGAGCAGAUUCCAGAUGCUCCAAAAAACUAAAAGUCCAAGGAGUGUGGGGGAAAACAGGUAGUUCAGGGGGGCACAAGGGGUAACAGGCAGUUCAAGGGGGCACAAGGGGAGCAGAGGAACAAGGCAAAGUCAGGGUGGCUUGAAAUUAAGGCAGAGCCAGAGGUAUGGAGGGCCAGGGUGACGCUGCAGGCUCUGAUGACCAAGCUGGAGCCAGAGGUUCAGAGGGCUGAGCUGGAGCCAGAGGUUCAGAGGGCUGAGCUGGAGCUGGGGGCUCGGAAGACCAAGGCGGAGCUGGGGGGAGUGAGGACCAAGGAGACCAGGGCAGAUCAGGCGGACGGCCAGGAGACCAGGGCAGAUCAGGCGGACGGCCAGGAGACCAGGCGGACAGCCAGGAGACCAGGGCAGAUCAGAGCAGAUCAGGCAGAUGGCCAGGAGACCAAGGAGAUGACCUCAAGGUGGGGACUGAGUCAGGAGUCCUGGGAGGCAGCAGCAGGUCCGAGACAGGGUCAGGAGGCAGAGCCACUGGAGGAAUAGUCUCUGGGGGAGCGGGUGGAGCCGUGGCAGACUCGAAGGGCGAAGCCGUGGAAGUCAGAGCCGUGGCAGACUCGAGGGGCGAAGCCGUGGAAGUCAGAGCCGUGGCAGACUUGAGACAAAGAGUCCUGGAUGAAUAGGAAAUGACCUCCAUGGUACGGGAGGACGACGAGGGACGGACGAGGCUGGCAACGUGUUGGCCAUGGCAGGCGUGGGCUCGUUGGCUGUGGACAAUUUUUGAGGUAGGGUCUUCAUGGACCUACGCACUGACAUCAGUGGUAGAUCAUACAACUUGGAGAUAGGUGCCAUGGAAGGCUUCGAGACGGGCCGUGGAAGGCUUGACAAGGGAGCCAAAGACGCAGGUUUUGGCCCGGGGUUCCCACCAUAAUCCACUGUAUAAAGGGAACUGCAAAGUUCCAGAGCCUUCUCCACAUAUUCGCAGAGUGUCCAGUGAGGAUCAGCCAGAGGCAUCAGUUCCCUAAGUGCACUAUUCAGACCAGCCCGGAAGAAAACCACCAGAGAGCGGUCUGGACAGUGCACUACAUUUGCCAGCUCUAGAAACUCACGGACGUGAUCCUCAACUGGACGGUCCCCUUGCUGAAGGAGCAGAAUUCUGACGGCCGCUAGAUCCAUUUUUAGGUCAGUCUUUCUGUGACGAGGCAGACGAGGAAUGAGGAUCUAAAUGCGGCUUUAACGAAAAACAAAAAUGAACAAAGUAACUCAGAAUAAAAUGAAACAAAAACACGGGAAACCAGACACGGGAAACCAGACACGGGAAACCAGACAACACAUUUAAAAACUGACAAAGAAACCAGGGGAAAACAAGGGCUUAAAUACACAAGGGCAAACAAGGGAACGAGGAACACCUGGGGAAAACAAUCAGGGGAAAACCAAUCAAAAAAUGAAACUACUAAAGGACUACAAACUAACAGGAAACAGGAACUAAACAAGAAUUUCAACAUAAAAGUCAAUACAAAAACAGGGAAUAUGUGACAAAGUGGUAUAUCCUAUCCAUACAGUCAACCUGAACCCCCACUUCGAAAUUAGAGAGAUAAUUUCAGUCAUGCAGUGUCAGCUUCAGGUAAUGAGCCAGUGUUUAGAGUCAAAGGGCCAUCUCUUUUAAUGAAGCUUAGUCAUUUCCAAAUGAUAAGUGGUUUCAUUCCUGAAUAUAAACACAAUGUGUGCCUUGGAGUCAGUCGGCAACUGUCCACAUUGUGAUUUGAUACAGCAAACAGUGAAGCCCCCUGGUACAUUGGCAAACAGAUUGAAGAGGUUGAUUUGCGACUUGAAAAAUAAAACCUACUGUUAACUAGGACACCAAGGUCAAUGAGUGAAAGGAAGUUCUGGAAAGCUGGAAAGCAGAGUGGCGAGCAUUUCUCCUCUUUUAUGCUCUGCCUGUAUUGAAAGUCAUACUCCCGGCCAGAUUUUGGAAUAAUUUGUUCCUAUUGGUGUUUGGCAUAUAUAAAUUACUGCAGGAUAAGAUCAAGACUAGAAGCAUCUUGUUGUCAGAACUGGCUCUCAAAAAAUUUGUCAUUGAAUUUCAAAGACUGUAUGGGAAAGACCACAUGACUUUCAACAUACGCUUGCUCACACAUGUCGCACAAUGUGUGAAACACUGGGGGCCAUUAUGGGCUAUGUCAGCCUUUCCAAUUGAAUCCAUUAUUGGCACUCUUUUGAAGUAUUUUCACGGAACACAGUUUGUCCCUUCACAAAUAGCUAGAAAAUGUCUGUUGUGGAGAGAAUUGCAAGAAAAGGCCAAACAUACUAUCACAAGUGCAAAGGUCCAGUCAUUUGUUGAAGAACUUUAUUUUAAUAAGCAAAAAACAGAUAAAUGUGAAAUAUUAAAUGAAAGUGUCAAGGGUUUUGGGCAUCCCCCAUUGCAGGAAAAUAUCACAUAUACGUAUAUAUUCAUAUAGGCUUGCCAUUGCUAAGUUAUGUGGAAAUCUAUGUAACUGUUUCUGGUCUUACAACAGUUUCUUGGUUAAUGGAGUUCUGUAUCACACUCAAAAAUAUGACCUACUUAAGAAAAGACACAACAGUGCUGUAUACUUGAAAGAUGGUACAUUCUGUUUAAUUAAUGACUUCUGUCAUUUUUAAACAAACGUGUGCACAUCAAAGCCCUGCAUAUUGUGCAUGUACCAAAUAUUGCUGUGUUUUAGUUGAGGUACUUGUUAAAUCUAGCAGGCCUUUAUGUAAAGAUUCACUAAUAAAUGUACAGAGUACUUUUGUGCAUGAGGUUAGGAAGACUGGAAACAUCAGUGCCAUCUGGCCUGAUAUGAUAACAAUGAAAUGUGUUGUUGAAACAGUUGACAAUUUGUACAUUACACCUUUGCCAAAUCAAUAUGUACGGGACUAAAAGAGCAGUCAUGAGUCAUAUCACUACUCCAGUGUUGUAGCCAAUGAUUUAUGUAUUACAUAAAAAGACUUGCUUCUUUUCCUAUUUGGCUUGAUGUUUUGUAAUGGAAUUUUAUCUUCUGGUAAUGGCUUAUUAUAGAAGCCAGUAUGAAUCAAGUCUGUUACAAUACUCUUACACCUUGGAAGAAUUGUUAGUAAAAU